GCCCGCCCCAGGAAGAGCGCUCCCGCGAACUGCGGCGGUGGUGGCUGGGCCACCAGAGGGAAGCGGGUGUGGCCCAGGCAGCGGGGGCUGGGACAGACCUGGAAAGGAGGAAGCGGGGAAGGAAGGUUGUCCUGUCGGGCUGGGGGCUCCCGGGAAUCCGGAGGCCAGCAGUGGAACCGCAAGGCUCUACAGGGCAGAUCUGCCUCCCGUGCUGUCUCAGCUACGCCGAGUCGUUGGCUCAGGGCGGAGGAUUUUCCUAUUGGCCGCGUUAUUUGAAUGGAAUGGAGGAUAGGUCGUGAAGUAGGUGCUGCUGGUUGAUCUUUCUAAGGAACUCAGAUGAACUUGGGCAUGUCAGAAUUAAUAACCUUUUAAAAGUGGGGUCUGUGUGGCCGAGGGUUUUAAUGGUAAGUUCUUGAGGUGACCACCUAUUGACAAGGGUUGACCUGCUGUAAUUGCUGUGGCUUCCUGCCAACCCCCACUUUAGAAAUGUUUUUCUUCCUCUCUUUACUUGUUUUGUUUUGCUUUCUCUCACGCUUGGGUUCUCUUCUUUCUUCCUUCAGUGCUUUAAGCCUGUCUCGUACUACCCAUGAGCUUAGCUCAGCCUGAUUACUGGUCCUUACCUUUUAAGGGAUUUCUGGUUACAGCUCCAUCUCUUUCUAAGGAGGGGUAAAGACCUAGCUGCGUCUAGCAUUUAAACGGAACGUUAAGGAAGGCAAUUAAUUCAACCACUAUUUAUUGAAUACCUACUAUGAGCCAGUAACUGUACUAGGCACUGAAGAUACAAUGAAAAAUAUGACAUUUAUUUGAACCACCUCUUGAGUUCAGUCGCCCAAACAAGACUAAUUUAUCAUCGUCAUAAAAAAAAGACUUUAACUUUGCCUUGUAUGACCACACGCGCACACACAUAGGAUUUGUAAUACUGAUGUCUUAUGAGCCAUCUAUCUACAAUCUCCACCAAUUGAUUUUACUGAACACUGCAUUGUUACCAUCCACUACUAUUUUUAGAGCAUUUAGAAAAGCCAAGAUAAAAACCACAAAACCUUACCAUGGAAGUUUAGGGGUCAUCUAGACAGAGUCCCUCAAGAACUAAUUAAUUUACUUAAUUUUACCCAGAAGUAGGAUUAGAAUUCACUCAGCAAAUACUAUGCACCUGUUCUGGGUCAGGCAUUGUUCUAGGUGCUGGAGAUAGAGCAGUGAACAAAUAAGCUUUUCUUACUCUCAGCAUGAUGCCUUUUCCAGUGGACUACUUCACAGCCUAUCAUAUUGAGAAAUAAAAUAAUUGAGUAAAACGUGAUUAGGAAACUGUCUGCCUGUGAGACAAUUUUCUGAACCACAGUUAUUAGGAUAGCGAUAGAAUCCAGGUCAGGGUAAAAAUAUUUCCUCUGAAAACGUUGUAGGAAUAGAAAAUGAAUGUAAUAUUCAUAAGAUAUACCAUUGUAUGUUCAUUACAUACAUUAAAGAUAACAUCAGACCUUUGAAUACUCAUGGUGUUAGGUACUGAAAAACAUUGUUAGCACUAAAAUACAAAAUCCCUAUCCACAGAAUACAGCUCUCAGAAUAAAAGAAAGGAACUUGAGGAUUGCCUUGUCAGCUCCUGUCUCUACCUAGGCAACUGACAGCAUAUCCUGUUUUCCAAGAACGUUAUGGCCUAUGUGGUAGCUCUUAAAGUGCCCUUGCAGUAUAGAUGGGAAUCUGAAGAUUUCAUUCAGGCAAAAGGAAUUUAGUGGGAAGUAUGCUAUUCCUGAUUCAAGCACUUAUUUCAGGAUGCAAAAUUAAUAAUAGUUUAUUAAUAAAACAUAAUUAAGUUCAUUCAGUUCCCAGAAGCUGUCAGGGAAAAAACAACCAAGGAGGGCUGCUAUCAUGUGCAAAUUUCACUGAAUUUAGUUUUUCUUCUUUCGUGGCUCUAAGGGUCAAGAUGCUCUAUGUUAAUAUUGAAAGUACUCUGAAACUGCCACCUACUUUGUCUUUAGGGAGGAUUUUUUUUAAAUUGUUGUUAGUGAAUUAAUGGUACUGAAGACCUUGGGUUAAUUCUAGAACAAGCAAAAUUUUUUAUUGACACACACAGUCCCAGCACAGUGGCUCACACCUGUAAUCCUAUCACUUUGAGAGGCUGAGGCGAACUCUGCCCAGGAGUUCGAGGCUGCAGUGAGCUCUCUGCACUACAACCUGAGCGACAGAGCUAGACCCUAUCUUUACCAAAAAAAAAAAAAAAAGACACACACACACACACACAUGCUUUUAUUACAUAUUUGUCUAAGCAGAACAAAUGGAAAAAAUGCAAAUAUUUUCACUUCCUAAUGGCUUCUAAACAGAUUGGGAUGUGAGGAUACAUUUUAGCUCCUUUAAAGCAAAUUAAGCCUUAAAAUAGAAGUACAAAUAAAACUAUACUUACUAAUUUGCAUAUAUGUAUAUAUAAAAAUAUAUUUUUGGCUGCACCAAAUCAAUCAUAUUGGAGGUUUUUGUUUCUGAGACAGGGUCUCACUCUAUCGCUCAGGCUGCAGUGCAGAGGCAUGAUCUCAGCCUCCCAAGUAGCUGAGACUACAGGCGCGUGCACCACCAGGCUUAGCUAAUUUAUUUUUUAAGUUUUGUAAAGAUGGGGUCUACCUAUGUUGUCCAGGCUGGUCUCAAACUCCUGGGCUCAAGUGAUCCUCUGCCUUGGCUUCUUAAAGUGUUGGGAUUACAGGCUUGAGCCACUGUACCUGGCUGGGGGUUUUAUUUAUUACAUGCACAAGAUUGUCAGAAUGAGAUCUGUGUAUAUCUUUUUCAAAGUUUAAUCACACUACUGACAUUCCUUACCAUUAAUUUGCUUGCUAAUUAUGAUCAACUUAAUUUAAAUUAUAAACAUAUUUGAAAUGCUGACAUGCACAGCUUAGAUUUGUUUCUGCUAUUAUAAUCUCUUUGUUAAAAAUGUACAUAAGAUAUUAAUAAAUACUUUGAUAUAUCUAUGUUCUCUUUAUCCCUAAUUUAAACCUGAGAUACUAAUUUACAUUUAUACACUUGAGAAUAGAACAGUCAACAAGGACCUUGUUUCUGUCUCCUGUAUUCUACACCUGGGCCAAACUCUCUUCCAUUGCAUAAUAAUUUCUUUCCAAUGUUUUAUUUAAGAACCUGAAGAAAAGGCUGGGCACGGUGGCUCAUGCCUGUAAUCCCAGGGCUUUGGGAGGCCCACGUGGGCAGAUCACCUGAGGUUAGUAGUUCGAGACCAGCCUGGCCAACAUGGCAAAACCCCCGUCUCUACUAAAAAUACAAAAAUUAGCUGGGCGUGGUGGCACGUGCCUGUAAUCUCAGCUACUCGGGAGGCUGAACCCGAGAAUACAUGAGAAUUACUUGAACCAGAAGGCGGAGGUUGCAGUGAGCCAAGAUUGUGCCACUGCAUUCCAGCCUGGGUGACAGAGCAAGACUCUGUCUCAAAAAGAAAAAAAAAAAGAACUUGAAGAAAAGUUUACAAUCCAUUCACAUCAUAAUUUAUUUAGUCCUACCCAGGGAGUUGACCAGAACCAACAUGGAACCACCCUAACUUGCUUCAGACUCCAUUGCUAGAUCAAUCCUGAUUUCUAGAUCAUAGCAUCUAAUCUUUGCCUUGCCUCUGGAUUACAAGGUGAGUUUCUAAUUUACUUUAGGGUAAAUUUUCUGCCACAUCUGACUCCAUUUCAAGAAACUAACCCUAUCACAGUACAAGUACUGGCUAAUAUGCUCAUAAAGCUUCUUUUGUUCCCCAAAACUAGGACUCAGAUGAGUGUCUGGCAACAAUCCAAAGUGCAGUUAUACUGCUAAAGAGAUAACUCACCUCCAUUGCACAUGACUCCCAACCUGUAUCAUGUGACAGAACAUCACAUGCCCCUUUCAUAUGAAUUAAUGUUUCCCAAACUUUAUCAGUUUUAUUGCCAAAUUCAAGAACCGCAAAUACUAGUAUUUGCUUAAUGUUUUCUUUAACCUUUUUAAGACAAAUUUAUUUUAAAGCAACAUUAUGUUGCUUUGGUAAGUGAAAAACGUUUCCACUUGACAUAAAGAAGACUGUUAAAGCAAAUACAAUGAAAACAAAACAUUAGUUAGGUUGUCUGUCAAGGGUCUGAGCCCAAGCUGUGCUCUCAAUUUGUUAAAAAAGGGAUAUUGGUAAGGGUUGGACAUGUGAGCAUCAACCUAAGAUUUUUCAGUUUAGCAUAAUCGGAAAGAUUAAAAGGUAGUGAAAAAAGAAUAUUGUGCUAAGUGCUUCACUGUUGUUUUAAUGUUACAUCUACCUUAUAACAUUACCUCAUGUACCACCAGUCUACAUGUCCUACACUUUAGGAAACUGACUGACUUUAAUUAGUAUGUGUAAUAAUAAUUACGAUUAAUUAAGUGAAGGUUAUAGGAUAGGCCUUAGUGGCACCCCCAACUCAAGGUGUCAAGGCAAGGCAUUGGCAGGAAGGCCAAUUUGUAUGAAAAUAUCUGUGUGCUGAAGGAAUUUCAGAAAUAAGAGUCAUUCUCCAUGGCACUGAAAUUAGAAGAAUAAAUUACAAGAUCAAUAUCUGGAAGGCAAGUUUAGGUGCAUGAGUUCUAUCUUGGAUCACUAAUAUUUAGUUGAGGGAUCCAUUCAAUUGUCCUUCAAAUCAAAUCCUAGGAAAAGCUUUAAAAUUCCUUCACAGACCAGAGUGCAAAAACAAGGUAUUCAUGAGAACCAAAACAUGCUGACCGUGCUCAAUUUUGACAGGUGGGAAUAUCAACUUCAUGUGGUUGUCUUAAAGAUUAAAUGAAUAAUGUAUGUGAGAGAGAAAAAAAUUUGAGAUUUUAUUUGUGUUCUUGUAUUUGCCUUUUCCUUCCCUUAUUUAAGCUGAUAGCAACUCUGCUUCCUUGCCUCAGGACAGGUUUGUGGCAAGGAAGAAAGCAGAAGUUGCUUUCAAAACAUUUUCCCUCCUACUUGAAAUGUCCACCCACCAAUUUCUAUUUAAUAAGAAUUUAGGGCUAGUGAUCUGAUUGGAAUUAGUAUAUGAGGUUGCUAGAAACUUAUUUAAGUUCUAUUUGCAUAGCAUUAUAAAUCAAUAAAAAUAGCACUGUUUUCUAAAUUUGCCUUUAUUUUCACUUUACAAAAAUUUUCACCAUAACUCCAUGGAAUGUUAUUUUUACUUAGGGUGGAACCAAGCAGAGGGGUUCACCCAAGCCAUCUUUGGGUGCUUCCAUGGGAAAGAAGGAUUUCACUGAGAAUAAUAAGUGACACCAAGGCUCAAAAGAAUGAGAGAGAAGUCUGUUGGUCUCUUGAACAGCAGGGAUUUGCUCACAGAUCUCUGGAAGUAGCCAGAAUGUGACAGGAUCUCAAAAUGAAUGGCUGCUUCAUGGAGGCUGGAACAUAAGCCUGGGACUCCCAGUAGCCAAACAUAGCUGUGCCACAAACAUGGCUGAAAUGUAGCAGUUUGGUGGAUCCGAGGUCAGUCAUUGAAAAUGUAUUGAUUGGCACCUAUUCUUUGUGAAUCAUUAUUCUGGGUUCUGGGGUCACAGGAGCAAAUGAAACAAAUGAAGUACCUGCCAUCAAUGAGCUUACAUUCUAGUAAAGAGGGACAGAAAAUGAAUACAUUUUAAAUGAAUAAAUUCAGAUACCGCUAAAUGUAGUGAAGAAAAAAAUUGGGCUAAAGAGAGCGAAAAACAAUUUCUGAAGUUACUAGCAGUGAAGGGUGGGGGAAGAGAAGAGACGGAUUUAACCAGGAAAGAUCUGAGCUGAGGGUGUAUCCAGGUUUUCUGGAACCUGAUAUUAUUACAGUUUAGAGAUUCUUCUUCAAGAAAAAGAAUUUAAAAUUACAAAUAAUUAACUUCAGGGCCUUGGAAGGGGUCCACUCAAGUGAACAGAAAAUUAUGUGCUCCUUAUAAAAUAUAUGAUUUAAAACUACAACAGUGGCUGGCCGUGGUGGCUCAUGCCUGUAAUCCCAGCACUUUGGGAGGCUGAGGCAGGUGGAUCGCGAAGUAAAGAGAUCGAGACCAACCUGGCCAACAAUGGUGAAACCCCGUCUCUACUAAAAAUACAAAAAUUAGCUGGGCGUGGUGGCAUGUGCCUGGUGUCCCAGCUACUUGGGAGGCAGAGGCAGGAGAAUCGCUUGAACCUGGGAGGUGGAGGUUGCAGUGAGCCGAGAUUGUGCCACUGCACUCCAGCCUGGCGACAGAGUGAGACGUCUCAAAAAAAAAAAAAAAAAAAAACUAUAACAGUAAUUGAGUGUAUAAACACUCAAUUUGUUUCCUCAGCUAGAUCUAGAACCAAGGAUUCUAGAAAAUAUGUGUCAAAACCCAGCUCUCAGUUUUGUUAGCUAUCACUUAACAUCAGUUUAAAUCAUUCAUUUAUUCACCAUUCAUUAAGCCGGUAUUUAUGAGUACCCUAUUGGUACUCUGUAUGUACUAGUGCUAAAACUAUAACAAUGUAAACACUCAUUCCCUGCAAUCAACAAUAUAUACUGGCCAAAGAUUCAAUUCCAUGAUCAAGCAUAGCAGCAUUAAUAGUAGAGCAACCUCCAUUAUGUGCCUAAGCAUUACCUAAAUUUUAGCCUGAGUUUAACCAGGUGUUUUAGAUCAAAUAUCACUUUACUAGAAACAUGGGAGAUAGAAGAACAUAUUAAAUGAUACCACACAUACUUAAUCAAACAAACCUGAAAUGUAGGAUAAUCUCUAGGGCACUGGCCUGGUUUCUUUUAAAAAGUCAGUGUUAUAAAAAAUUUUAAAUAAAAAUGUUCUAGAUUAAAAGAUACUGAAAAUCAUAAUGACUAAUUAAGCUUGUAAACUUUGAUUAAGUUCCGGUUUGGAAAAAAGUUGUAUGUAAUUGAUUAUUGGAAAAAUUGAAUAUGGAUUGUGUUUUAGAUGAUAUUAAGGAAUUUUUGUUAUUUCUGUUCUAAGAUGUAAUAAUGUGAUUAUGUAGGAAUGUAUCCUUAAUUUAAGGAGAUGAGUAUGUUAAAUAUGAUGUUGCAACUUCCUUUCAAAUGAUUUCAUGAAAUAAAAAAUAAAUACAUACAAAUGCAUGUAAGUAGACAGUGCAAGUUUGGCAAGAUUUUAAUUUCUGAACUUAGGUAACAGGUAUCCAAGUGUCUGUUACUAUUUUUUCAGCUUUGCUGUUUGAUAUUUUUUACAAUGAAAUAUUGAGGGAGAAAAAGAAUGGAUUGUGGGGAGACUGUGUUGUGAUUCUCUAAUAGAGUCAAUGCCAUUACUCCAGAGAUAUUUGGACAUGUGGGUGAGGUGUUUUUGAUUAUCAAAAUGAUUGUGGAACACUACUGUCGUUUAGUGAGGAAGUGAGUAAUAAAUAACUUGUGAUGUGUGGGAAUUUUCCAAACAACAACUAAGUACCCUUCCCAAAAUGCUAAUAACUCCCCUGUUGAGAAAUACUAAAAUUAAACCAAUAAAUAGCUCACACAAAAAAUAUUCCAUUGACCUUAUAUACAACUCUAAUGUUUGUUCUCCAAUUCACAAAAAAGUACUCCUGAUAAAGAGUCAUUUAUAUUCAUGGCUUCCAUAUCCAUGUUUUCUUUCUUUUUUUUUAUUAUACUUUUAAGUUCUAGGGUACACGUGCACAACGUGCAGGUUUGUUACAUAGGUAUACAUGUGCCAUGUUGGUUUGCUGCACCCAUCAACUCAGCAUUUACAUUAGGUAUUUCUCCUAAUGCUAUCCCUCCCCCAGUCCCCCAACCCCCAACAGGCCCCAGUGUGUGAUGUUCCCUGCCCUGUGUCCAAGUGUUCUUAUUGUUCAAUUCCCACCUAUGAGUGAGAACAUGUGGUGUUUGGUUUUCUGUCCUUGUGAUAGUUUGCUGAGAAUGAUGGUUUCCAGCUUCAUCCAUGUCCCUGCAUCCUUUUUUAUGGCUGCAUAGUAUUCCAUGGUGUAUAUAUGCCACAUUUUCUUAAUCCAGUCUAUCACUGAUGGACAUUUGGGUUGGUUCUAAGUCUUUGCUAUUGUGAAUAGUGCCACAAUAAACAUACGUGUGCAUGUGUCUUUAUAGUAGCAUGAUUUAUAAUCCUUUGGGUGUAUACCCAGUAAUGGGAUCGCUGGGUCAAAUGCUAUUUCUAGUUCUAGAUCCUUGAGGAAUCACCACACUGUCUUCCGCAAUGGCUGAACUAAUUUACACUCCCACCAACAGUGUAAAAGCGUUCCUAUUCUCCACAUCCUCUGCAGCAUCUGUUGUUUCCUGACUUUUUUUUUUUUUUUUUUUUUGAGAUGGAGUCUUACUCUGUCGCCCAGGCUGGAGUGCAAUGGCACCAUCUCCGGUCACUGCAGACUCCACCUCCCGGGUUCACGUCAUUCUCCUGCCUCAGCCUCCCAAGUAGCUGGGACUACAGGCACCGGGCACCACGCCUGGCUAAUUUUUUUUUUUUUUUCGUAUUUUUAGUAUAGGCGGGGUUUCACCGUGUUAGCCAGGAUGGUCUUGAUCUCCUGACCUCGUGAUCCGCCUGCCUUGGCCUCCCAAAGUGCUGGGAUUACAGGCAUGAGCCACCGCGCCCGGCCUGUUUCCUGACUUUUUAAUGAUGACCAUUCUAACUGGCGUAAGAUGGUAUCUCACUGUGGUCAUGAUUUGCAUUUCUCUAAUGACCAGUGAUGAUAAGCAUUUUUUCAUGUGUCUGUUGGCUGCAUGAAUGUCUUCUUUUGAGAAGUGUAUGUUCAUAUCCUUUGCCCACUUUUUGAUGGGGUUGUUUUUUUCUUGUAAAUUUGUUUAAGUUCUUUGUAGAUUCUGGAUAUUAGCCCUUUGUCAGAUGAGUAGAUUGCAAAAAUUUUCUCCCAUUCUGUAGGUUGUCUGUUCACUCUGAUGGCAGUUUCUUUUGCUGGGCAGAAGCUCUUUAGUUUAAUUAGAUCCCAUUUGUCUAUUUUUGCUUUUGUUGCC
rnacentral:lncRNA from 1 species